rnacentral:tRNA from 1 species
ACAAUGAUGGUUCAGUGGUAGAGUUCUCACCUUCCAUGUGGAAGACUCUGGUUCGAUUCCCAGCCAAUGUA